GCCAAUGUGGCAUAGUGGUUUGAGUGCUAGACUGCAACUCUGGACACCAGAGUUUGAUUCCCAGCUGAGCCA